UUAAAGUGCUAUAAAAAUAUCAUUAUUAAUGAUGAUUGACUGGGUUUUCAGAGCCAAGAUAUUUCAAGGCUGCUAAGUUAGAGUUGAGUGCAAAAGCGGGGGUGCUAAAAUGGCUUCAGGGUUCCUUCACUUUGUUUCUUCAUUGAUUUUUAAGUAACAUGUGAACACAGUCAAAUUGAUGAUUUUCAUUUUGAAUUAGUUUGCCCUCUGUCAUGCAGAGCCUUCCAUCUUUUCCUGACUGUCAGUGCCUAAUUCAUCUUCAUCAAGUCCCCAGCAGGAAGAUUCAGAUCUUAUAUUACUCUUUGUUUUACAGUUUUAUUGUUUACAGGAAAUUGGGACACAGAGAAAAAUAGAGAGGAAUCUACCCAAGCUUUAAGUAGAACUACUCAAGGGGAGAAGGUACAACUCCACUUCUGGGCCUGGAGGUACAGAAUCUCCUUUAUCGCAGCAGCUGCAGUAGGUGAAACAAGGGACUAUAAUCAAAUACUCCCUGGAGUUAUUUUUUGUUUGUUUACUAUUUUUGCUUUUGUUUCAGAUUCCUGAAAGAUAUUCGGUCUUGGUCUGUGUAAAUCUCAUACUUUGUACCUGAUGCCUUCAUGAACCUAGAAGUGCUCUCCCUUUUACAGAGGAGAAACUAAGGCUAAAGAAAAGCAUUUAGAGCUGCUGCAGCUUCUGAAGAUUCAUUCUUGCAGUCCUAUGGGAAGUCACCAGUUUGUUCUUUCAACAGUGUGCCAAAAGUGGAAAAAGGAAGAGUUUAAGCAACUGUCAACCAGGAAACUUUCUGUUUGUUUAUUUUUAAAAAAGAAGACUUAUCAAGCUAGCCAAGAAAUUUUGUUGAAGUUACAGGCUGUCAUUCUUUAUAAUCGCUCUACUUUCUUUUUCUUUCUGAAUCCUGCAUUUCCAUGGAGGAUAGAUAAUCUUGGGCAUUAUCCUCAUUGGCUCGGCUUAGCUCUGUCCCUUGGGGUCCUGCUGACUCUAUAAACUUUCAACUCCUAAAUCCAAUGCUGGCUCACCCAGGAAAGAAAAAAGCAAACUGAACAAUAAAAUUCAAGCUGUAGCUUCCGUUGUGACUCAAGAAUAAAAAAUGUUAAUGGCCAACAGCAUAUAAAGUGCCACUAAUCACCAAUAAUUUAUUAUUUCCCAGUGGGGUCCCCAAACAAACACCAUCUUGCCCAACUCCAUUACUGUCCAGGAUUGGAAAAGCUUUUCAAAGUUAAUUAUCUGAUUGAAUCUUCACCUAGGGUUGAGCAGUUUGAAAAUUUUUCAUAAAAAUUAAAUAUACCAGAAAGGAGAAAGUAAGUUUCCUUCCUUUCUUUUCUUUCUUAAGUCCCCCUCUUGUCUCUCUUCCUUUCCUUAGCAAGUCUUUGGCUGUGUCAGCUCUUCUAUGCAUGAUUGGUUUGCUGUGAUCUAUGGAAAACUCUUACUACUUCAGGAAUUUUAUUUUGCUGGGUUUGGGCUAUAGGAUUUUGUUUUGAGGAAGUCUUAAAAGCUUAUAUUCUAGCCAAAACCUUUUAUUCUUGGAACUGCACAGAUAAAUUAGACCAUUUUGGGAAGGACCUUUGCAGUCACAUUGCCAGGAAAAGUUUACAAGUGUAUCCCAAAACAUUAAGUAUUAUUUGGGUGUUCACACAAUAGGUUGAUAAGAUGUUGUUUUUUCCUCUGCUGUUC
rnacentral:lncRNA from 1 species